AAGUCGUAACAAGGUUUCCGUAGGUGAACCUGCGGAAGGAUCAUUACCAAUUUUAGCGAACCUGAUCUUUUUUGAUCAUGGUCUCGCGAAAAUCGUAUUUAAAACCCCCACUCUUAUAAGAAUCAUUUUUUUUUUGUGUAUAAAAAAAUAAAAAAGAUCACUUUCAACAACGGAUCUCUUGGCUCUC
rnacentral:misc_RNA from 1 species